UGCUCAGUAGAAAGUAAUGUAAACCAGAGAC
rnacentral:piRNA from 1 species